rnacentral:rRNA from 1 species
CCUACGGGUGGCAGCAGUGAGGCAUAUUGGUCAAUGGGCGCGAGCCUGAACCAGCCAAGUAGCGUGAAGGAUGACUGCCCUACGGGUUGUAAACUUCUUUUAUAAAGGAAUAAAGUGAGGCACGUGUGCCUUUUUGUAUGUACUUUAUAAAUAAGGCUCGGCUAACUCCGUGCCCGCAGCCGCGGUAAUACGGAGGAUCCGAGCGUUAUCCGGUUUUAUUGGGUUUAAAGGGAGCGUAGAUGGGUUGUUAAGUCAGUUGUGAAAGUUUGCGGCUCAACCGUAAAAUUGCAAUUGAUACUGGUAGCCUGGAGUACAGGUGAGGUAGGCGGAAUUCGUGGUGUAGCGGUGAAAUGCUUAGAUAUCACGAAGAACUCCGAUUGCGAAGGCAGCCUACUAAACUGCCACUGACAUUGAUGCUCGAAAGUGUGGGUAUCAAACAGGAUUAGAUACCCCUGUAGUC